rnacentral:rRNA from 1 species
UACGUAGGGUGCGAGCGUUAAUCGGAAUUACUGGGCGUAAAGCGUGCGCAGGCGGUUUUGUAAGCCAGAUGUGAAAAUCCCCCGAGCUUAACUUGGGAACUGCAUUUGGGGACUGCAAGGCUAGAGUACGGCAGAGGGGGGGGUAGAAUUCCUGGUGUAGCAGUGAAAUGCGUAGAUAAUCAGGAGGAAUACCGAUGGCGAAGGCAGCCCCCCUGGGUCGAUACUGACGCUCUGCACGAA